rnacentral:rRNA from 1 species
UAGGGAAUCUUCCGCAAUGGACGAAAGUCUGACGGAGCAACGCCGCGUGAGUGAUGAAGGUUUUCGGAUCGUAAAACUCUGUUGUUAGGGAAGAACAAGUUGGGUAGUAACUGACCCAACCUUGACGGUACCUAACCAGAAAGCCACGGCUAACUACGUGCCAGCAGCCGCGGUAAUACGUAGGUGGCAAGCGUUGUCCGGAAUUAUUGGGCGUAAAGCGCUCGCAGGCGGUCCUUUAAGUCUGAUGUGAAAGCCCACGGCUUAACCGUGGAGGGUCCUUGGAAACUGGAGGAUUUGAGUACAGAAGAGGAGAGUGGAAUUCCACGUGUAGCGGUGAAAUGCGUAGGGAUGUGGAGGAACACCAGUGGCGAAGGCGACUCUCUGGUCUGUAACUGACGCUGAGGAGCGAAAGCGUGGGUAGCGAACAGG